UGCCUUGGUGGCUCCGCUACAGGUGGACA
rnacentral:sRNA from 1 species